UAAUAUUUCAUCUCCUUCUUUGCUUCAUCUCUUUCUUUCAACAGUUCAACGAGUACAGAAAUUUUUUUCCACCGAUGUCGAAAUCGAAAGCGGAAAACUCAAAUCAUUCAUAGGGUUUUUUUGUUAUUCUGCUUCUUCGAUUACUUUGGAAUCUUCCAAAUCCCGAUUGGAGUUCAGUUCUGACGAUAAAAUCAUCUCUGCUCUCAAAGUUUGAAAGGCUCAGAGGCACAGGGACUAUAGGCAGAAGAUAAUAUCCAAUUAUCAUGUGUGAAUCCUUUAACUUCAUUAUGUUCCAUAUCGCUUUGUCCAAAGUGUUUUGCUUAGUAUACAAAAAUUAUAUGAUUUGAUUUUACAAAUAGUUAGUUUACGUUGAUUUGAUGAAAUCCAUUCUGUAUUAAGGUUAGAGUUUACGAAUCAGUAGAUUUUUGUUACUUUUGGUCUAAUAUAAUACAUUCUUAUUAUACUGGUUUAAAUCUUCUUAACUCUUAA